AUGUGCAUGUCUCUGUGCGUGUGUGCACGUGUGUGUGCAUCUGUGUGUCUCUGUGCACGUAUCUCUGUGCAUGUGUCUCUGCAUGUGCGCACGUGUGUGCAUCUGUGCGUGUCUCUGUGCACGUGUCUCUGCAUGUGCAUGUCUCUGUGCGUGUGUGCACGUGUCUCUGCAUGCGCAUGUCUCUGUGCGUGUGCAUCUGUGCGUGUCUCUGUGCACGUGUCUCUGCAUGUGCAUGUCUCUGUGCGUGUGUGCACGUGUGCGUGUGUGCACGUGUCUGUGUGUGUGCGCGUGCGUGUCUCUCAGACAAGGAGGGCCCACGGGGCAAUCAGAUUCAAGAGGGAAGCCCAGAGUAAAGAACAAGAUGACUGCAGCCAUGGAGAAGGCCAUCAAGGCAAGUUGGCCACGGCCUGCGGGCUUCCCUGUGCCCAGCAUCUCCACGGGAGACCCAGAGAUGGGCUGUGUCCGGCCAGGCCCUCCCGGGAGGAGCGACGACACCGUCCUCCUUCGGGGGGCGCCAGGGCUGGGACCAGAAGGAGCUGGAGACAAGGACCCUCUCUGGGAAACGCUCCCCCUUCUCCUUCCCGGGUGCGGGAGAACUGCGGCCGCACCCCAGGAGAAGCCCCUGGUGAGCCGCAUAUCGGUCCAGCCUCAGAGCCUGACCAGCUAGGUGGCCCUGGGCAAGUCACUUCACCUCUGCCUGCCUCCGACUUUUCCACUGUAAAAUGGGGCCGUAACAGCUCCGCCAUCCCACGGCUGUCGGGAAGAAGCCGAGAGCCGUGUAUCGAGGGCUCAGCACGGUGCCUGGCACGUCGGGGCAAACGGGAGCUUUGGUGGCAAGGAUGGCGCACGGCGACGUCGGGCAGGGGACGCUGGCAGCCCCACCUCCUGGGUGCUCCCUGCAUCCUGCUACGCACGCCGGGGGGCUUCCUCUCCUACCACGAGGACCGUGGCAGGUGCUGAGUUCUGGCAGGAAGCUGCCGACGCCCCUCCAGGGAAGGGCAGGAAGGAAGUGCAGGGAGGCCUCUAAAGAGUCGGCUGCGGCCUUUUGCCUUUCAAACACAGACUGCUGAGGCGUCUCGCUAAGGGCCCAGGGGGGCCUAAGGACAGUCUGGGGGAGCCCAAGGGAGGAGGCGCGGUGGGACAGAGCCCAGGCAAGGCCGCCGGAGACGAGCCGGCCUUUGGGGAGAAGAGAAGCGUCCGAGGAGCAGGCGCACAGCCGGCCUCCUCCUCCUCCUCCCUGGUCUCCCACAAGGCUCGCGGAAGCGCAGACGCCCCCACCUUCCCUCCCCGGGAGCGGGGCGAGGCCAGGCCUGAGAAGCGAGACGGAGGGUGCCAGGAGCCCCUCGACUCGCUCUGGGCCCCGAAGUGGGCCGGCAACGCCUGCAGCCCGGGGAGGGUCACCAAAGCUCCGGCGGCCCAAGGGCGGCCGCGCCAGCAGCAUAUUCCCAGGGGGCGAAGCGCGGGCCGGGCACGGGCGCUCCCUGGCGAGACCCCGCCCGGGGGGCGGCCGGGGAAGGCCGGCCAAGCCGCUGCCCCCUCUGUCCACGGGGACAGAAGCCAGGCUGGCCCGGCUGGAAGCCCACCCGCUGACUGAGGGCGACGGAGCUGCAAGGAGGACGUGGUCCGUGAUCCCCUCCCUCCCGCCCUGCCCAGAGAAGCUGGACCCGGAGGCCUUUGGGGAAGGUGGGGCCUCCUGGCUUCCCCCUGGCCUGAGCCGCACACACCGGGGGCUGCGGGGUCCCCGCGCCCCAAUCCCAGGACCGAGCCCACGCCGGAACAGGCCCCCAAACAUUCACCCAACAGCAGGGAAGUCCGGGCCGGCCCGGGGAGCUCUCAAGGCCCAUCGGCCGUGCCUGGCAGCCUGUGGGUGCCUUCCCGGACGUCUUCCCACCCGGGGGUCCAGCAGAGCCCCCGGGACGCCCCCCACCCCGAGAAGCCUGGCCUUCCCAGGCCCAUUUUC
ensembl:lncRNA